CCUUACCUGGCCUUGACAUACUAAGAACUUUCCAGAGAUGGAUUGGUGCCUUCGGGAACUUUAGAUACAGGUGCUGCAUGGCUGUCGUCAGCUCGUGUCGUGAGAUGUUGGGUUAAGUCCCGCAACGAGCGCAACCCUUUUUCCUUAUUUGCCAGCGGGUUAAGCCGGGAACUUUAAGGAUACUGCCAGUGACAAACUGGAGGAAGGCGGGGACGACGUCAAGUCAUCAUGGCCCUUACGGCCAGGGCUACACACGUGCUACAAUGGUCGGUACAAAGGGUUGCUACCUCGCGAGAGGAUGCUAAUCUCAAAAAGCCGAUCGUAGUCCGGAUCGCAGUCUGCAACUCGACUGCGUGAAGUCGGAAUCGCUAGUAAUCGCGGAUCAGAAUGCCGCGGUGAAUACGUUCCCGGGCCUUGUACACACCGCCCGUCACACCAUGGGAGUUUGUUGCACCAGAAGUAGGUAGUCUAACCGCAAGGAGGACGCUUACCACGGUGUGGCCGAUGACUGGGGUGAAGUCGUAACAAGGUAAGCGUAGAUGA
rnacentral:rRNA from 1 species